UACAGAGGUCUCAAGCGUUGUUCGGAUUCAUUGGGCGUAAAGGGUGCGUAGGCGGGGUUUUAAGUCAGGGGGGAAAUCCUGGAGCUCAACUCCAGAACUGCCUUUGAUACUGAAGAUCUUGAGUCCGGAAGAGGUGAGUGGAACUCCGAGUGUAGAGGUGAAAUUCGUAGAUAUUCGGAAGAACACCAGUGGCGAAGGCGGCUCACUGGCCCGGUACUGACGCUGAGGUGCGAAAGCGUGGGGAGCAAACAGG
rnacentral:rRNA from 1 species